UACGGGGGGGGCAAGCGUUGUUCGGAAUUACUGGGCGUAAAGCGCACGUAGGCGGAUAUUUAAGUCAGGGGUGAAAUCCCGGGGCUCAACCCCGGAACUGCCUUUGAUACUGGGUAUCUCGAGUCCGAGAGAGGUGAGUGGAAUUCCGAGUGUAGAGGUGAAAUUCGUAGAUAUUCGGAGGAACACCAGUGGCGAAGGCGGCUCACUGGCUCGGUACUGACGCUGAGGUGCGAAAGCGUGGGGAGCAAACAGGG
rnacentral:rRNA from 1 species